CAGUACUCGCCUUAGCUAGUUCACUUGCAAUUGGAGUACGAGAAGGUGUCUUCACCCUGAUGUUUGCGAGAUUAAACAUUCGUCUCAGGAACCAUCUUUUCCGAACCUUGAUGAGGCAAGAAAUUGCCUUUUUUGAUGACAAUCACACAGGUGACAUCCUUUCACGCCUGUCUGCUGACACCACCCAGGUGAGCGACCUCAUCUCCCAGAACGUCAAUGUCUUCCUGGAGAACGUUCUUAAGGGCGUUGGCUUCUUCAUCUUCAUGUGUGGCAUGUCCUGGAAGCUCACACUGGUGACCAUCAUGGGAUUCCCUUUCAUUGGUCUGAUCUCAAAACUUUAUGGUGAAUACUACAAGGUAAAGUAGUUUUGUCUGAAUGUUAAUUUCUUUAUAUUUUGCUUCCAAGAAGUCAGAUAUUAUUGUAAUUUUUUUAAGUGAUCUUGAGAAAUAGUUAUUACAGUACAGCGUGCCGCAGCAGGGAAGGCGGACGCAGCUGCGCAGCAUCACAAUCACACCUCGCCAGCUUAAAAUCUGUGCUCUACAGGGCCGUGCAGAGACG